CAACCCUCAAGUUUUUAGCUUGGUGUUGGGUGAGGUCCCUUCUAGGACCCUCCCGUAACCUGUAGGCGGUCAUCAUCCAUACUCCCCUAGCGUAAGCAGGCUCAUGGCAUUCGCUAAGGGAUGGGGUGACCAUGCCUUUACAAAACAAUCAAAAG
rnacentral:misc_RNA from 1 species